GUUGGGAGUUUAUCAGAAGGAAAGGAGGGAGAUAUAAUGGGACAAUGCAAGUGAGAACAUGGAACUUCAUCUUCCUUCAGCACUAGUUCCCACUAGAGAGAGUUAUUUUGUAAGAUACUGUAACAGUUAGCCUCUGGAACUGGGGAGUUGUUGAUGUAUCUUUGGAGAAUUUAUUCCCUUAUUCGACAUUCAAAUUUCGAAGACGACCAUCAGGCUGCUUAAUCCAAGACAUCCCAAAUGGGUGCUCUAAGGUUAUAUGGGUUGAGCAUGUAGCAGUUGACAACAGAUUAGUUCACAAUAUUUAUCGGCCUCUAGUUACUUCUGGUUAUGUUAUAGCGCAAAGCUUGGGUCGCCGCUUUGAUUAGACCAGUGAAUGGCUCGAA